rnacentral:rRNA from 1 species
UACGAAGGGUGCAAGCGUUACUCGGAAUUACUGGGCGUAAAGCGUGCGUAGGUGGUUUUUUAAGUCCGUUGUGAAAGCCCUGGGCUCAACCUGGGAAUGGCAGUGGAUACUGGAAAGCUAGAGUGCGGUAGAGGGUAGUGGAAUUCCCGGUGUAGAGGUGAAAUUCGUAGAUAUCGGGAGGAACACCAGUGGCGAAGGCGGCGAUCUGGGAAGAUACUGACGCUGAGGUGCGAAAGCGUGGGGAGCAAACAGG